rnacentral:rRNA from 1 species
UACGUAGGGUGCGAGCGUUAAUCGGAAUUACUGGGCGUAAAGCGUGCGCAGGCGGUUUUGUAAGUCAGAUGUGAAAUCCCCGAGCUCAACUUGGGAACUGCGUUUGAAACUACAAGACUAGAAUAUGUCAGAGGGGGGUAGAAUUCCACGUGUAGCAGUGAAAUGCGUAGAGAUGUGGAGGAAUACCAAUGGCGAAGGCAGCCCCCUGGGAUAAUAUUGACGCUCAUGCACGAAAGCGUGGGGAGCAAACAGGAUUAGAAACCCUCGUAGUCC